UGGCAGCAUAGUAAACGUU
rnacentral:siRNA from 1 species